rnacentral:rRNA from 1 species
UGCGUAGGCGUCGUCGUAAGUCAGAAGUGAAAGCUUACAGCUUAACUGUGAAAUUGCUCUUGAUACUGCGGUGCUUGAAUUAGGUUGAGGUUAGCGGAAUGUGACAUGUAGCGGUGAAAUGCAUAGAUAUGUCAUAGAACACCAAUUGCGAAGGCAGCUGGCUAGGCCUAUAUUGACGCUCAGGCACGAAAGCGUGGGGAGCGAACAGGAUUAGAUACCCUGGUAGUCC